rnacentral:rRNA from 1 species
AUUGAACGCUGGCGGCAGGCCUAACACAUGCAAGUCGAACGAGUGGCGGACGGGUGAGUAAUGUCUGGGAAACUGCCCGAUGGAGGGGGAUAACUACUGGAAACGGUAGCUAAUACUGCAAACCAUCGGAUGGGCCCAGAUGGGAUUAGCUAGUAGGUGGGGUAACGGCUCACCUAGGCGACGAUCCAUAGCGGGUCUGAGAGGAUGACCGGCCACACUGGAACUGAGACACGGUCCAGACUCCUACGGGAGGCAGCAGUGGGGAAUAUUGGACAAUGGGCGAAAGCCUGACGCAGCCAUGCCGCGUGUAUGAAGAAGGCUUUCGGGUUGUAAAGCACUUUUGGCGAGGAGGCGUUACUCGCAGAAGAAGCACCGGCUAACUCCGUGCCAGCAGCCGCGGUAAUUC